rnacentral:ncRNA from 2 species
GCCUGUUCUCAGGGCGGGGUGCAAUUCCCCACCGGCGGUAUCGGGCCUGCGGCGUCUUUCUUCGAAGUCCAUUCGAAAGGACACGGCAGCACAAUUCUCUUCGCAUUGAGAUGCAGGAGGAUGCCCGGAGCCCGCGAGCGCCUCCGGCCUUUGCCGGAGGGUCAGCAGAUCCGGUGAGAGGCCGGAGCCGACGGUAUAGUCCGGAUGGAAGAGAGCAAUG